GGGUUGCAGGUGGGCCAAAAUGCCUUGUUUUCUCUAGAUCAGAGAGAUGGCUUCUGGAUUCAUCUUUCCCUGCAAUCCAGCUUCUCCUCCUGGGGCCCUCAUACUGGAGACUGGGAUCAUCAUCCAGGCUUUUGCACUGGGCCAGGAAUUUGGGAGUCAUCCUGGAUCCGUCUGCCCCUGUCAACCUUUCGCUGUCAACGGAUAUUUAUUGGGCGUCCUCAACAGCCAGGCCCUGUUCAUGGUACUGAAGAACAGCUUGUAUAAAACAACCCUGCCCUCACAGGGCGAUCACCAGUGACCUGUGGUGUGGAGUCUCCUUUUACCUAUGUCUCCUCCUUCCCACUGUCACCAUCCUUGGUCCUCCUCUGUCACCUGGAAUACUCCACUUGGUAACCAGCAUGAUCUUAUAACGCUAGUUUUACCCUUGUCAGCACUUUGCCAAAAACCUCAAAUAAAGACUUUUUUUAAAAUGUGCAAUGGAAAAAUAAAGUUAUAAAUUAUAUCAUAA
ensembl:lncRNA novel transcript